rnacentral:misc_RNA from 1 species
CAGAGUUCAUGCCCUUGCGGGUAGAUCUCCCACCCUGUGUUAUUAUUACUUUGUUGCUUUGGCGGGCCGUUGGGCUCACGCUCGACUACCGGCUUCGGCUGGUAAGCGCCCGCCAGAGGACCCAAAACCCUGAAUAUUAGUGUCGUCUGAGUACUAUAUAAUAGUUA